AGCUUUUGCGCAUACUUAACAUUACGCAAACGCUGCGAAAUGUUUGCGAAUACCAAAUAGUUACGAAAAAAUAAAUUUGCGUGCGAUUUCCGUAAGUUACGCACAAGUUAUGAAAGUUGAUUUUAUUUUUAUAUAAAUUUUAGAACGUAAACCAUAUCACAAUUGUUUGCACAUUAGAAAAUCUAGUCCUGAUAUUUAAGUGCAAAAAUUUGCGAAAUUUAAAAAGAAUUUCAGCGAUGCAUUGCUGCACUUUAUUGUUAUGAUAAACUACCAUCAAGUUUUACGUCUGUUAGUGGAACAAGUUUUCAAUCUGCAAUAUAUAUGGAGCUACGAUGCCUAAAGUCUUAAAAAGUCUUCAUACGUUGUGAAUAUCCUGGGGGAAAAGACUGAGUUUGAAGAUUCGUUACUUUACUAUGAUAAAAUAAAUGAUAUAACAAGGGUCUUUUUCAGCUCUGCUAAUAAUAUUUUGGAUAAAAUUAUGUCAAAAUGUGUUCUACCAUUGUUUAAGAAAGCUGAAACUUAUGCAAAUAGAUCAUUUAAAAAAAACUUUAUUGAGUUGAGUAGUUGUAGGAACAUUAGUAUCACAUACAGCAAAGUUUGAUUUGGUCGAUAAGUUGAAAGGCGAUUGUUUGAAGAGAAUAAUAGAAUAAAUAGCUUAACAAAAUAGCAAAAAAGCUAUUAUAAAUUUGUAUGCUUAAAUUGUAAAUAAACACAAAAUGUUAAAA